rnacentral:tRNA from 1 species
GCCGCGGUGGCUGAGUGGUAAAGCGCUUGGCUUCCGAACCGUGGGUGCCGGGCUCGAAUCCUGGCAACGACU